rnacentral:rRNA from 1 species
CUAAGAAUCUUCCGCAAUGGGCGAAAGCCUGACGGAGCGACGCCGCGUGAACGAAGAAGGCCGUGAGGUUGUAAAGUUCUUUUCGGGAGGGGGAACAACCGUGGCAGGGAAUGGCCGCGGGAUGACGUGAAUCCCGGAAUAAGCCCCGGCUAACUACGUGCCAGCAGCCGCGGUAACACGUAGGGGGCGAGCGUUGUUCGGAAUCAUUGGGCGUAAAGGGCGUGCAGGCGGUCCUGCAAGUCCGGCGUGAAAGACCCCGGCCCAACCGGGGGGACGCGCUGGAAACUGCAGGGCUUGAGUACAGGAGGGGAUGCCGGAAUUCCAGGUGUAGGGGUGAAAUCUGUAGAUAUCUGGAAGAACACCAAUGGCGAAGGCAGGCAUCUGGCCAUGUACUGACGCUGAGACGCGAAGGUGCGGGGAGCAAACAGGUUUAGAUACCCUGGUAGUCCGCACAGUAAACGAUGUGCACCAGGUGGCGGGGGGUCGACCCCCG